rnacentral:rRNA from 1 species
GACGAACGCUGGCGGCGUGCUUAACACAUGCAAGUCGAGCGAUGAAGCACCUUCGGGUGUGAAUUAGCGGCGAACGGGUGAGGAACACGUGAGAAAUCUGCCUUCAACACUGGGAUAACUCCGGGAAACCGGGGCUAAUACCGGAUAUGAAAUCUGCGGGCAUCCGCGGAUUUGGAAAGUUUUUCGGUUGAAGAUGAUCUCGCGGCCUAUCAGCUUGUUGGUGAGGUAAUGGCUCACCAAGGCGACGACGGGUAGCCGGCCUGAGAGGGCGACCGGCCACACUGGGACUGAGACACGGCCCAGACUCCUACGGGAGGCAGCAGUGGGGAAUAUUGGGCAAUGGAGGAAACUCUGACCCAGCGACGCCGCGUGCGGGAUGAAGG